rnacentral:piRNA from 1 species
ACCUCCCCAUCUAGACCACGUUGUCCUGG